rnacentral:misc_RNA from 1 species
CAAAAGAGAGUUGCAAAACUCCCUAAACCCACUGUGAAUCUACCGUUUUGUUGCUUCGGCAGGCGGCCCCAGGGCGGGGCCAUGGCCUACACUUUUAGGUGCGGGUGCCUGCCGGAGGAUUUUAAAACUCUUGUUUUUAAUUGUGUAUUCUGAGUAUUACCAAAAAAAAUGAAUCA